rnacentral:rRNA from 1 species
GACGAACGCUGGCGGCGUGCCUAAUACAUGCAAGUCGAGCGGACAGAUGGGAGCUUGCUCCCUGAAGUCAGCGGCGGACGGGUGAGUAACACGUGGGCAACCUGCCUGUAAGACUGGGAUAACUUCGGGAAACCGGAGCUAAUACCGGAUACGUUCUUUUCUCGCAUGGGAGAAGAUGGAAAGAUGGUUUCGGCUAUCACUUACAGAUGGGCCCGCGGCGCAUUAGCUAGUUGGUGAGGUAAUGGCUCACCAAGGCGACGAUGCGUAGCCGACCUGAGAGGGUGAUCGGCCACACUGGGACUGAGACACGGCCCAGACUCCUACGGGAGGCAGCAGUAGGGAAUCUUCCGCAAUGGACGAAAGUCUGACGGAGCAACGCCGCGUGAACGAUGAAGGCCUUCGGGUCGUAAAGUUCUGUUGUUAGGGAAGAACAAGUACCAGAGUAACUGCUGGUACCUUGACGGUACCUAACCAGAAAGCCACGGCUAACUACGUGCCAGCCGCCGCAGUAACAC